GAUGAACGCUAGCGAUAGGCCUAACACAUGCAAGUCGAGGGGCAGCAUAGAGUAGCAAUACUUUGAUGGCGACCGGCGCACGGGUGAGUAACACGUAUGCAACCUACCUACAUCAGGGGAAUAACCCCGAGAAAUUCGGACUAAUACCGCAUAAUACAGGGAUGCCGCAUGGCAAUAUUUGUUAAAGAUUUAUCGGAUGUAGAUGGGCAUGCGUUCCAUUAGCUUGUUGGUGAGGUAACGGCUCACCAAGGCAACGAUGGAUAGGGGAACUGAGAGGUUUGUCCCCCACCCUGGAACUGAGACACGGACCAGACUCCUACGGGAGGCAGCAGUGAGGAAUAUUGGUCAAUGGACGAGAGUCUGAACCAGCCAAAUCGCGUGAAGGAAGACUGCCCUACGGGUUGUAAACUUCUUUUGUACAGGAAUAAAAGACAUUACGUGUAAUGUAUUGCAUGUACUGUACGAAUAAGCAUCGGCUAACUCCGUGCCAGCCGCCGCAGUAA
rnacentral:rRNA from 1 species